AACAACAAAAAUCUGUAAUUUUUGUUUAUGCAACAAUUAUAAUCAGAGCAAGAAAUCUUACUUGAAAUCAUGAGAAUCGCAUAGUAGGACAAUAUUUAAAAAUACGUUUCAUUUAUUUCGUUAUCAACAAAAUUAAGCAGAGGUGGGCUGCGUAUGGUUGCCAAGACUAGCACAGUGCAGCGUCGUGCCAACAACAUUUCCAGCUUAAACAUCCUGAGGAAAUUAAGUGGGCUUAGUUUGAAAGAGAUGUGCUU